UUACCCUCCAAUCCUACAGCCAAAUCACACAGAUAACGCGGUAUCCGGCAUCUCCAUCAUGUUCAAUCCAUCGCUAAUCCUCGCCGCGUUCCCCGCCUCCGCCCUCGCACCCAAAUCCCACGGCAUUCAAUCCAUCGCGCAAUCUCGCCGCCGCGACAAAUCCUCAAAACCGCUGCGCUCACCCCGCCACCGCGCAUCCAUCCAUCCAUCGCCAUGUCGCGCAUCCUCCCCAUCCCUCACCGGUGAGAGAGAGGAAGAAUGUACACGCCCUCUCUCCCGCAUCUCGCGGUCAGCCUCGCGCUCACCACCUGCCCUUGAUUGCCAUGCCAGUCCGGGCUCCAGCGCCACGGCCGGCUUCUGUCACCAGAUCCGCCUCGCCUAAAGCAGCCGACGCCUGAUUCUCUCUUGUGCAACUUCCAUGCUUGUAUGGAUCCAGGCAGGCUUUCAGCCGCCAGCGGCGGCCGCUGGAUGUGGCUUAUCAUCUCUGCCCUCGCUGCUGGAUCGAGGAUGCCGCUCACCACCAUAGCCGUUCAAGCAGGGGAAGCUGGUCACUUCUGUGGUAGCACCGGUAAUCAUCGUGAGGGGAAUUUUCAUGAAGCUCAUCCAUAGGUGGACGAUGGACAGCAAUGCCACGGAAGGCGAAAGAGCACGCCGCGACAAGAAAGCUCAUGAACCAGCAGAUGGACCCUUUUAAUCAGACAUUGCUUUCUUUUAUCAGGUUUUACAGCUUGCUUACACACAUACAGUGCUUGCUUUAACAAGUAGUAUAUGUUUAUCGUGUUUAACCUACAGCUUUACAAGUCCAGGUGUUAGAUUAGUUGAUUCGAAGGUAAUCAUUUAGUUUCUCAGGGAUGGUAAUUUGAAGAUUGUAAAACCUUCUAUAUUUAGGCCUAUUAUAUCAGAGUUAAUAAAAUGGGACUGGAAGAGGGAUUUGUGUUCUAAUA